CCCCUCGAUUUCCGGCACGGGACCACCUAUAUUCACUUCGCCGCCUCGGCGGCUAUGGCGAUAAACACGGCUUGGCAUAAGCGUUGCGGACCCGGGGGCAGUGCCCGGCGCCUCCACCAUUCAGCCCCUCGGUUCCGGGGCGGCAUGGGGGCGAAACAGGCUCGACGCGCGUGGUAAAGAGGCCGCUUUUGCCCGGCAUGGUUCCGCCGUCAUCGGGCCAUUGAUAAGUGCGAACGAUAACAGCCGCGAGGCUGUCGCACUCGCUGCCUAGGAAUAGGUAAGCGCGGUUCGGGGGGGCACCGGGCAACAGAAGCCCCCCCACU
rnacentral:tmRNA from 1 species